GAUGAACGCUGGCGGCGCGCCUAACACAUGCAAGUCGAACGGUUAAAGCACCUUUUAGGUGUGUAUAAAGUGGCGAACGGCUGAGUAACACGUGGGCAACCUGCCCUCCUCUUGGGGAUAGCCUCGGGAAACCGAGGAUAAUACCCGAUACUUCAAUGUGGCCGCAUGACGACAUUGAGAAAGCUUUUGCGGAGAAGGAUGGGCCCGCGGCCUGUUAGCUUGUUGGUGGGGUAGAGGCCUACCAAGGCAAUGAUGGGUAGCUGGGUUGAGAGACCGACCAGCCAGACCUGGGACUGAGACACGGCCCAGACUCCUACGGGAGGCAGCAGUGGGGAAUCUUGCACAAUGGGCGAAAGCCUGAUGCAGCGACGCCGCGUGCGGGACGAAGGCCUUCGGGUUGUAAACCGCUUUCAGCAGGGACGAGGCGAAAGUGACGGUACCUGCAGAAGAAGCCCCGGCUAACUACGUGCCAGCAGCCGCGGUAAUACGUAGGGGGCAAGCGUUAUCCGGAUUCAUUGGGCGUAAAGCGCUCGUAGGCGGUCUGUUAGGUCGGGAGUUAAAUCCGGAGGCUCAACCUCCGCCCGCUCCCGAUACCGGCAGACUUGAGUUUGGUAGGGGAAGGUGGAAUUCCUAGUGUAGCGGUGGAAUGCGCAGAUAUUAGGAAGAACACCAGUGGCGAAGGCGGCCUUCUGGGCCAUAACUGACGCUGAGGAGCGAAAGCUAGGGGAGCAAACAGGAUUAGAUACCCUGGUAGUCCUAGCUGUAAACGAUGGACACUAGGUGUGGGAGAAUACGUCUUCCCGUGCCGCAGCUAACGCAUUAAGUGUCCCGCCUGGGGAGUACGGCCGCAAGGCUAAAACUCAAAGGAAUUGACGGGGACCCGCACAAGCAGCGGAGCAUGUGGUUUAAUUCGAAGCAACGCGAAGAACCUUACCAGGGCUUGACAUGUAGGUGAAGCGGCGG
rnacentral:rRNA from 2 species